GACCGCGUAGCUCAGUUGGAAGAGCAUUGGGCUAGUAUUCCAAAGGUCGUAGGUUCGAAUCCCACCGUUGCCG